GCUGCUGUAGCUCAGUUGGUAGAGCACGUCCUUGGUAAGGACGAGGUCACCAGUUCAAUCCUGGUCAGCAGCUCCA
rnacentral:tRNA from 1 species